GUAGGGUGCAAGCGUUAAUCGGAAUGACUGGGCGUAAAGGGUGCGCAGGCGGCCUGUUAAGACAGAGGUGAAAUCCCCGGGCUUAACCUGGGAAUGGCCUAUGUGACUGGCAUAGCUAGAGGCAGGCAGAGGGAGGCGGAAUUCCACGUGUAGCAGUGAAAUGCGUAGAUAUGUGGAGGAACACCGAUGGGCGAAGGCAGCCCCCUGGUCAAAAACUGACGCUCAUGCACGAAAGCGUGGGGAGCAAACAGGAUUAGAUACCCUGGUAGUCCACGCCCUAAACGAUGUCUACUAGUUGUCGGGUCUUAAUUGACUUGGUAACGCAGCUAACGCGUGAAGUAGACCGCCUGGGAGUACGGUCGCAAGAUUA
rnacentral:rRNA from 1 species